rnacentral:snRNA from 1 species
CGGUUAGUUUUGGUAGAAA